UAGAAUGUUGUCGAAUCCGAGACCAAAAAGGAUACAGAAGCAACAGUUCGAUAAUAAAAAACAAAUUCAAAUAUAUAGGCGAAACUGCCGACCAACAAGCGAAAUUAUUAAAAGAUAGUACAGCCGAUCUUUCGCAACUGAAGAGCAACUAUGAAGCGAACAUCAACGAAAUCGCUCAUGCAUUAGAGAACCAUCCAGCUUUAAAACAGAUCAGCGAAAGCUAUAAAAAAAUGUACGCUAAAUUGAAAAAUUGCCGGAAAUUUGUCGAAGAGUGUUGCUGGAUCCUAUGAGAACUUAUAUAUAAUAAAUCCGUUGCAGAAUUUUAUAUAAAAUUAGAAUCUACACUAAGAGAAACAGUGUUGCCAGCAUGGGAAGACCUGUUGGUCACCACUUCUAACCUUCUUGGCGACUUGCGCGUACAAUUAGUGAAUUUAAUCACUGAAUUAGUCCAAGAAAUUUGGAUUGCUUUAGAACAAUAUGGACCAGCACUGAAAUAACGAAACUACCAUCCCUUGAUGAACUGCAUAGUGAACUGAAAGAGCAAGUGAAAAAGUUGAGACUUGUAGCGAACGCUUUACAAUUAUUGAACGAUCUCUUUGACCAACUGCAUAUUUUACCAUUGACGCCAGAAUCAAUCGAAUUCAUAGAAAAAUUGCGUGAAUACACAGAAGCUAAGCUAACUAACAAUCCAGUAAGUGAUGAGCAAGUAUUACAAGAACUUACAAAACUCUUGGUGAGAGCUCUACGUUCCAUUUAGAUUAACUUGAACGUCAACUCGCCUGUGAUAUUUCAGACAAUAUACAAGUAAUUACUUCUCUACUGGGUAUCACAUCAGAAUCGUUUGAUGUUAUUGAUAAGCUACCAAGUAUAUUCCGCUUCAGUGUCUUGAAUUUCUUAUUAAAUGAAAACUGGGAAAAGAUUGUUAGCGAAAAAUACCUUAA